rnacentral:rRNA from 1 species
UACGUAGGGGGCUAGCGUUGUCCGGAUUUAUUGGGCGUAAAGAGCGUGUAGGCGGCCAGGUAGGUCUGCUGUGAAAACUCGAGGCUUAACCUCGAGCUGUCGGUGGAAACUGUCUGGCUAGAGUCCGGAAGAGGAGAAUGGAAUUCCUGGUGUAGCGGUGAAAUGCGCAGAUAUCAGGAAGAACACCCGUGGCGAAGGCGGUUCUCUGGGACGGUACUGACGCUGAGACGCGAAAGCGUGGGGAGCGAACAGG